GGAGCGCGACGCUCUCCCCAAGGACGAAGCCAUGCAUGCCCGCUCACCCGGGACGCGGCGGACGGCUCAGGACAACGGUUGCACCCCCCGCGGCGGUCCCUGCUAGCCGGACACCGCUGGCAACCCGGCGCCAAGACGUGCGCGCAAGGGCGGGCGCCCGCGGG
rnacentral:rRNA from 1 species